AUGAAAAGGAGAAGCGAUCGGGAUGAUGGUGCUUCACACCCCAGAGGGAGUUUCGCUUCACAGAUAAGCGCCCUGAGUCAUGAGCUGAAUACGUGCCAGAAGGUUUCAAUGGCAGAAGUAAAUCCUAUCAAAGUUUGCUGUUGUGGUUGGACUGCUGACUCAAAGCGCUCGCUACGUGAGCUACCAGGGAGAGAUGGGGCUGGCAGUAAGUCACGCAGUGGCUCAUGUGGAAAUUGGGAGGCAGAAAUUGUUCUGCACAUGAACAAGAAACAAUCUGGGUAUGUGAAAAUGUAAGCUGUUUGUUUCAAUCAAGAGGUUGGGUUUGGCUUUACUCCAUGUAGUUAUUUGAAGGCUAUUGAGAAAUGCAAAUCAUGAUUUAUUUUUACUGUGCUAUGUGAUGAGACUCAUACUUCAGAGGCAGAGAGACAAGUUUCUGGAAUCUGUCCAGAAAUUAGCCAAAACGAUAAAAUAAAAAAAUCACACAACUUAUUCA
rnacentral:lncRNA from 1 species